GACGAACGCUGGCGGCGUGCUUAACACAUGCAAGUCGAACGAUGAAGCCGGAGCUUGCUCUGGUGAAUUAGUGGCGAACGGGUGAGUAACACGUGAGUAACCUGCCCUUGACUCUGGGAUAACUGCGGGAAACUGUAGCUAAUACCGGAUACGACCCUCGGAGGCAUCUCCUGGGGGUGGAAAGAAUUUCGGUCAAGGAUGGACUCGCGGCCUAUCAGCUAGUUGGUGAGGUAAAGGCUCACCAAGGCGACGACGGGUAGCCGGCCUGAGAGGGUGACCGGCCACACGUGGACUGAGAUACGGCCCAGACUCCUACGGGAGGCAGCAGUGGGGAAUAUUGCACAAUGGGCGCAAGCCUGAUGCAGCAACGCCGCGUGAGGGGUGACGGCCUUCGGGUUGUAAACCUCUUUUAGUAGGGAAGAAGCGAAAGUGACGGUACCUGCAGAAAAAGCACCGGCUAACUACGUGCCAGCCGCCGCAGUAA
rnacentral:rRNA from 1 species